rnacentral:misc_RNA from 1 species
AAAUGAACAAGACACAUACAUGAUGCAAAGUCUCUCCCUUUUGGUUCAAUGCAUAUACAAAAACCAAAGCAUGAACAAGACGGAGAGUGAGCAACCUUCACUAUUACAUGACUCUAUUCACUACUACACCAACCUCUGCAAAUGUCAAAAACACCAUUGCAGGAGGCCAUACUUGACACCAUACAUGAUAUAUCCAAAAAAAAAAAAGUAAUACUACAAUAAAGUAUCAAAGAGCUGCCCAAUCAAUCUCCACGGAAGGGUACUUGGGUAAAAAGAAGUUUUCUGAUUCAUCGAAAGAUGGUUCAGCGAAAUCCAAGAAAGUAAUAUCAGACUCAGACGAAGAUGAUGAUUCCUCAGAGGGUGUAGGGGGUGAUGAUGAUGAUGAAGCCUCAAUCUUGAUAGUACCAUUUUCUGGAUAGCUGAAUUCUUCUUUCAAUGAAUCAUCUGUGGUGAUUUCUGACUUUGAUGAAGAUUCUUGAGCUGAAUUUGAAUCCACUGAAACUGCUGCAGUUUUGGACUUUCUUGGCUUGGAAUUAGAUUUAGAACACGAGUCAUCUGAUUUGGGAUUAGCCAAGCUUUGGCAAAUGGCUUGAAGUUUAGCAUCCACAGAGGAAUGCAAAGGCUUGAAAUCAGAGAAUUCAUUGUUUAAUUGAUGCCUUAGAUGUGGAAAAUUAAGCCUAGCAAACUCACCUCUUAGCUUAUAAGCAGCUUUGUCAUAAGCCAAAGCAGCCUCUUCAGCUGUAUCAAAAGUGCCUAACCAAAGCCUAGUUCUGUUCUUAGGAAGUCUAAUUUCAGCAACCCAUUUGCCCCAAUGGCGUUGUCUAACUCCACGAUAAAGCUUAGUAGCCUUCUGUGAAGAAGUAGCACCCGUUUGCUUCAUUGGGACUGGUUUCAUACCAAGAAAGUUAGUAGAAUUCAGAUUCUUAGAAUAUGUUGAAGUGGGUGUUAACAAACCUAAGCUCUGUUGUUGUUGAUGUAAUAGUUGUAGUUGUUGCUGUUGAUUUUGAAAUUGGAUCUGAGCUUGGAUUUGCAAGAUCUGAGAAGGGGUUAGAUGGUUAAGCCCAAUUGAACCUGUUUCAGCUACACCCAUAUUGUCAAAACACGAAUACCCUUGAGAAAACAUUUGGGUAGCCGUUGAUGGGAUUGUGCAGAAAUCAGUAUACAAAUUAGGCUCACCAAAAGUAUAGAAAGAAGAAGACGAAGUUGAAGGUGAAGAAGAAGAAGAAUAAGAAACACCUUUCAUAAAAGGUUCAAGUGCUUUCAUAAGUUCUUCUGUUAAAGGAUCUGACAAGUUACUGCUGCUGCUGUAUACAUCUAUAGCUGCUGCCAUGGUUAAUAUCAAAACACACAAAAAGUAUUACCUCUUUCUAAUAUCAAAACUACACAACAGGUAGAGAUUUUUACAAAGCUUUCUACAAAUCAAAAAAACCAACCUUUAGGGAUACGAAAAACAGACCCUUGUGGUUGUUUGAACAAUUUAAAAAAUAAAAAGAGAACGUUGAUCUCUGUUCUGGAUCACCUGGCUUUCAAAAACAAAACACCUAAAAGGGAGUUUGAUUUUUGUAUAAAAUUUCUGAAAUUGAAAGACAGACGACAACAGAAAGGGAUCUAAAGAAGCGGGAUGUUAGAGAGGGGGGGGGGGGGGAAAGAAA